rnacentral:snoRNA from 1 species
AAAACUACACUUUCAGAGAUCUUUGCUAUAGUUGGUUACUAGAGAAGUUUCUCUGUGCAGAGUUCUGGAAACCACAGGGAAGAGGUGCAGCCUUCUCUCCUGAGCAGGAUGCCAGCUCUUGGUGUGUUUGGCUGCAUCUGCCAUUUGCCAUUGCUGAUCAUUCUUCCUUUGGGAGAAUAAAAGGGAGAGGACCCAGUCUGAGUGGU